GACGAACGCUGGCGGCGUGCUUAACACAUGCAAGUCGAACGGAAAGGCCCUGCUUUUGUUGGGUGCUCGAGUGGCGAACGGGUGAGUAACAAGUGAGUAACCUGCCCUUGACUUUGGGAUAACUUCAGGAAACUGGGGCUAAUACCGGAUAGGAGCUCCUGCUGCAUGGUGGGGGUUGGAAAGUUUCGGCGGUUGGGGAUGGACUCGCGGCUUAUCAGCUUGUUGGUGGGGUAGUGGCUUACCAAGGCUUUGACGGGUAGCCGGCCUGAGAGGGUGACCGGCCACAUUGGGACUGGGAUACGGCCCAGACUCCUACGGGAGGCAGCAGUGGGGAAUAUGGCACAAUGGGCGGAAGCCUGAUGCAGCAACGCCGCGUGCGGGAUGACGGCCUUCGGGUUGUAACCCGCUUUCGCCUGUGACGAAGCGUGAGUGACGGUAAUGGGUAAAGAAGCACCGGCUAACUACGUG
rnacentral:rRNA from 1 species